GUUGACGCGAACGCGGCAUAAGUUCCUUCCUGUGCUUUUUACGAUGGGUUAUAGAAGCGGGAAAACUUGGAACUAACACAACACACUAUAGAAAAACCACAAAACUCUGAAUGGUGGCGCCCUUCAAUAGUCAGGGGAAAAAACUCCAAACGAAAAGGGUGAAAGGGAAGAAAAAAAAAUAGAAAAUAAUAAGAUAAAAAAAGAAACUAAGGUUGAUUUAGAGGAAUAAAACGAUAUGUGGCCCGCGCGGAGGCUAUAAAAUUGGAUCACUGCUAGCAUCAGCUAAAAAUGUGCAGAUACGUUACUAACACUAGAAUGCAACCCCAGCACUUGGGCACAUGUUGUGCCAACUCAGCGUGAAAUAUAUAUAAAGCUCGUAUCAUCAUCUCAAAGAAAAUGCAUAGAACAUUUAUUAGUGCUUAUUCAACACCGAGGAAAGAGACAAAAACAAACAAAACAAAAAUUGAUAAGAAGAAAACUAUAAUUGUGUCUAGUCUUAAUGAAAUGACGAUGCAGCGCCCUAUACGUAUGUAUGUGUAAAUAGAUACACCUCGAGAUACACCCCAAAUUUUCAACCCUUAUAACCUUGUCAUUUUAAAAACUUGAUGUGCAACAGAGUUUUCAGACUUAAGGACCGAAGUAGGGGAGUUUGAGAGAAAGUAGUAGGGGAAAGAGAAGUAGUAGUCGUAGGAGGGGGGGGAGGUGAGGGAAGGAGGAGGAAGAGGAGUACGGGCGAAGUUAUCCAAUUAUUGUCUAACCUGGGAGCAACUUUACCGGGUAAGCUUGAGAGUGAGGAGGAAAGCUGUAGCAGUAGCAGCAGCAGCAACCAGUAAGUGAAGGUUUGGUGUUGGACGAAGCGAGAGCUAUACAUAGAAAGUUGGCGAGGGUAAAACUCACCCCCCUGUACAAUCGAGGCACGAUAAAGUAAAGUUUGUUUCAAAACUCGACGCAGGGGUGCCCUUCUCCGACUGUUAUUGGUGAAACGUGAGAUUUAAAUUAUCCUUAAAUCUGGACCACUGUCGGGGGAGGCAAAGGGGGUACGAGGAGAGCACGAAAGAGGAAAGGAAAGAUUGGAAGGAGGGAGAAGCGCUCGGUUAGCAAACCUGUAAUCAAUGAUGGUCUCGUUUGACAAUUGGGUCGAUUCCAUUCGGAAUGUUUCGCCAAGUAUAAGCGUGCAGCUUGCUACCGCUGCUGUUGCUGUUGCUCUUGCUGACGUCCUCAACUCAUCGUAUAAAUAUGCAUAUUUACGUAUAUAAAAUAGAUGUGUAAUUCAUUGCACUGUAUAUAAUCACAAUUACUAGAAAGAGAACAUAUACUAUAGCAUUAUGUAGGCGUUACGUUUCAUAUACGUAUAUUAAAACCGUAAUACAAAGACCCGUCCAUGUAGGUAUAGAUAUGCAUAAAUGUACUACAUAAGUAAGGUGUGAAUAUGACCGCGCGAUUACGUGUCUGACUUUAAUAAAGUUAACAAAUCUCACGUAGUGUUACAUUUCUUAUUUACAUAUUACAAAGGAAAAAAACAAGAGGGAAAAAACCGACGAUACCGAUUAGUUAGAUACUCGCUAGAUUUUAAAUAAUUAAUACAAGACGCAAAUUUUUUCACUUUUUUUUCUGAAUUUGACCAUUUUAUGAUGAAUGACCAACCGAUAAAUUAGAAAAUGUACGGAAUUAGGUUAGAGAUAUAUCAUCCACAACGAUUGCAUGUAAUACGUACCUGUGUAACACUAUACGUGUAUAAAACGUUCGAACACCUUGAUUGUCUUUCAAGUAAUUUAUGAAACUCGUUACAACAGAUAAGCCAUAUUUGACACGGGUAUAAAAUGUGAAGAAACGCAUUUACUGCGAAAAGUGUUGAAAGAUAUAUUUAUAUAUAAUAUAAUAAAUAUAAAAGUUGUUUCUCGCGUGCUGCACCACUUGAGCGGCAGCCCCUGGCUAUAUAGCUUUGCAAAGUUACUUUCCAUGUUGUAAUACAAGUCAACCCCCAAAUAGAAAAAAGAAAAAAUAGUUCGAAGUUGAGAACCUCUUGACGAAAAAUAGUUUUCGCAGUCCAAGAACUUCUACUUCUUCGUCGUACCCGCUGCAACUUUAGCUUCACUUUUACAAACUUUAUAAGUUUUUUC